GGGGCAAGGACUCAGGCGUGGACAAAACUGAAAUGGUCUUUGUCCUCAGAAAGACAAACAAGACAAAUAAACAAACAAAAAAAAAGAUAUCAAAUUGUGAUAAAAGCUACAAAGUAAAGGAACUGGGGGCUAGGAUUGAGAAUCACAGUGGGUGCCUACUUGAGACCAGGCCUUCAGGGAAGGCGUCUGAGAACUGAAGGAUGAGUUGGGGUGGCCAAUGAAGAGGGGGCAGAGGAUAGAAGAGCUUCAUGUAUUUUAGAGACAAGGAAGGCCGUGUGGCUGCACCGUGAUCAGCAGGGCAAGAGGCACGGAGAGCUUGGGGAGGCUUUAGGGGUCAGACCGUGCCUUGUGAGCAACGGGGAAGAGUCUGGAUUUCAUUCUAAGUACACUGGGAAGCCACCGAAGACUUUUAAGCAGGGUGGGCCCUAAUCUGGUAUGACUGGCAUCCCUAUAAGAAGAUAUGAAGACACAGGUGCACAUACCCGUUAGGAAGACCAUGUGAAGACACAGGGAGAAGACAGCUACCCACAAGCCAAGAAGAGAGGCCUCAGAAGAAACACCCUACUGACCCCAGGAUCUCAGACUUUCAGCCUCCAGAAAUGCGUAUAUCCAGGAGGAACCCUACUUCAAAACGAUACCUGCACCCCAGUGUUCAUAGCAGCACUAUUUACAAUAGCCAAGACAUGGAAACAGCCUAAAUGUCCAUCAACAGAUGACUGGAUAAAGAAGGUGUGGUAUAUUUAUACAAUGGAAUACUAUCCAGCCAUUAAAAAUGACAACAUAACGCCAUUUGCAGCAACAUGGAUGUUCCUGGAGAAUGUCAUCCUAAGUGAAGUAAGCCAGAAAGAGAAAGAAAAAUACCAUAUGAGAUCGCUCAUAUGUGGAAUCUAAAAUAAAAAAGGAACACAAAUACAAAACAGAAACAGACUCAUAGACAUAGAAUAGAAACUUGUAGUUGCCAAGGGGGUGGCGGGUGGGAAGAGACAGACUGGGAUUUGAAAAUGUACAAGAGAUAAACAAGAUUAUACUGUAUAGCACAGGGAAAUAGAUACAAGAUCUUGUGGUAGCUCACAGCAGAAAAAAAUGUGACAAUGAAUAUAUGUAUGUUUGUGUAUAACUGAAAAAUUGUGCUCUACACUGGAAUUUGACACAACAUUCUAAAAUGACUAUAACUCAAUA